rnacentral:rRNA from 1 species
AUGCAAGUCGAACGAAGAGCCUGGGUAGCAAUACCUGGGUUUCUUAGUGGCGAACGGGUGCGUAACGCGUUGGUGACCUGCCCCAAAGUGUGGGAUAACAGUUCGAAAGGAUUGCUAAUACCGCAUGUGGUCAUCGGGUUUAGAAGCCGAUGACUAAAGCAGUAAUGCGCUUUGGGAGGGACCUGCGUCCCAUCAGCUAGUUGGUGAGGUAAUGGCCCACCAAGGCUACGACGGGUAGGGGACCUGAGAGGGUGGUCCCCCACACUGGCACUGAAACACGGGCCAGACACCUACGGGUGGCAGCAGUAGGGAAUAUUGGGCAAUGGGCGAAAGCCUGACCCAGCAACGCCGCGUGCACGAUGAAGGUCUUCGGAUCGUAAAGUGCUUUUCUGAGAGAUGAGAAAGGACAGUAUCUCAGGAAUAAGUCUCGGCUAACUACGUGCCAGCAGCCGCGGUAACACGUAGGAGGCAAGCGUUAUCCGGAUUUAUUGGGCGUAAAGCGCGUGCAGGUGGUUUGGUAAGUUGGAUGUGAAAGCUCCUGGCUCAACUGGGAGAGGUCGUUCAAUACUACCAGACUUGAGAGCAGUAGAGGGAGGUGGAAUUCCCGGUGUAGUGGUGAAAUGCGUAGAUAUCGGGAGGAACACCAGUGGCGAAAGCGGCCUCCUGGACUGUUUCUGACACUCAGACGCGAAAGCUAGGGUAGCAAACGGGAUUAGAGACCCCGGUAGUCCUAGCUGUAAACGAUGUGAACUUGGCGUCGGCGGGUUCAAAGCCGUCGGUGCCGAAGCUAACGCGAUAAGUUCACCGCCUGGGGGACUACGGCCGCAAGGUUA